UAGAGUGUUCGUUGAUUCCGUAAAAAAUACAGCGUGCUUUUAAUUUUUGACAUCCAGAUAUAGAGAUUCUAUACAAAUACUUUUUUUUUUCAACAAAAUUUUGACACAUUUUUAGAAUUUAGACAAUUACUAAACGGAAGCUCGUAGAUGUAGUUUUUGCUGUAUCUUAAAUAACCGCUAGAUGGCAGCAAAAAUCAAAUACGAUUGAUUUUAUUCUUAGUUUUGUUUUUAAUAUAAUAAAUUUAUAACGUUUAGAUUUUACCUCCUUGGCCAAUCAAAAUAUUGUGCAUGCUAUUCCACUAUAACUUUUUAUCUGUUGAUAUAAAUAAUUACAUAUUUUUCUGGAGGAGCACAGUUAGUUCGAGAAGGAGCGCCGCGGAGGGAUCUUGUCCUGCACUGAAACUCAUGAGCAUAUAGAUUCGGCGUGCAGCUCCAGAAUCCUCCUUUCUUUUUCCUGCGUCAGUGAGCGGCAGGGAUAGCACUUUUGUUGCAUUUUAUUCAAGAAAAGCCAACAUAAGAAACAAGAUGCCUGAAGAAAUGCACCAAGAGGAGGAGGCUGAGACCUUUGCCUUCCAGGCAGAGAUUGCUCAGCUGAUGUCCCUGAUCAUCAACACCUUUUAUUCCAACAAAGAGAUCUUCCUCAGGGAGCUGAUCUCCAAUGCCUCUGAUGCUCUGGACAAAAUCCGCUAUGAAAGCUUAACUGAUCCCUCCAAGCUGGACAGCGGCAAGGAUCUGAAAAUCGACAUCAUCCCCAACAAGGCUGACCGCACCUUGACCAUUGUUGACACUGGAAUUGGCAUGACCAAGGCUGACCUUAUCAACAACCUGGGUACCAUUGCAAAGUCUGGGACAAAGGCUUUCAUGGAAGCCCUUCAGGCUGGAGCCGACAUCUCCAUGAUUGGUCAGUUCGGUGUGGGAUUUUACUCUGCCUACCUCGUCGCUGAGAGGGUGGUGGUUAUCACCAAGCACAACGACGAUGAACAGUACGCCUGGGAGUCCUCUGCUGGGGGAUCCUUUACCGUCAAGGUCGACAGUGGCGAGCCCAUUGGCCGUGGAACAAAGAUCAUCCUGCACCUUAAAGAAGACCAAACGGAGUACAUUGAGGAGAAGAGGGUCAAAGAGAUCGUGAAGAAGCAUUCUCAGUUCAUCGGCUACCCCAUCACCCUCUUUGUGGAGAAAGAACGUGACAAGGAGAUCAGUGAUGAUGAGGCAGAGGAGGAAAAAGAAGAGAAGGAGACCAAGGAGGAAGGUGAGGACAAGCCAAAGAUUGAGGAUGUGGGCUCAGAUGAUGAAGAAGACGCUAAAGACAAGGGCAAGAAGAAGAAGAAGAUCAAGGAGAAGUACAUUGACCAGGAAGAGCUGAAUAAGACCAAGCCCAUCUGGACCAGAAACCCUGAUGACAUCACGAGUGAGGAGUACGGCGAGUUCUACAAGAGCCUCACAAACGACUGGGAGGAUCACCUCGCUGUGAAGCACUUUUCAGUGGAAGGUCAGCUGGAAUUCAGGGCUCUGCUCUUUGUUCCUCGUCGUGCACCUUUUGACCUCUUUGAGAACAAGAAGAAGAAGAACAACAUCAAGCUGUACGUCAGGAGAGUCUUCAUCAUGGACAACUGUGAAGAGCUCAUCCCAGAGUACCUGAACUUCAUCCGUGGAGUGGUGGACUCUGAAGACCUGCCCCUCAACAUUUCAAGAGAAAUGCUGCAGCAGAGCAAGAUCUUGAAAGUAAUCCGCAAAAACAUUGUCAAGAAGUGCCUGGAGCUGUUCGGAGAGCUGGCAGAAGACAAAGAAAACUACAAGAAAUUCUAUGAAGGUUUCUCAAAGAACAUCAAGCUCGGCAUCCAUGAGGAUUCUCAGAACCGUAAGAAGCUGUCUGAGCUGCUGCGCUACCACAGCUCCCAGUCUGGAGAUGAAAUGACUUCCCUCACAGAGUACCUUUCUCGCAUGAAGGAGAACCAGAAAUCCAUUUACUACAUCACUGGUGAAAGCAAGGACCAGGUUGCCAACUCUGCUUUCGUGGAGCGCGUCCGCAAGCGUGGCUUCGAGGUCCUGUACAUGACCGAGCCCAUCGACGAGUACUGUGUUCAGCAGCUGAAGGAGUUUGAUGGCAAGAACCUGGUUUCUGUCACCAAAGAGGGCUUGGAGCUGCCAGAGGAUGAGGAGGAAAAGAAGAAGAUGGAGGAUGACAAGGCCAAGUUUGAGAACCUCUGCAAGCUCAUGAAAGAGAUUCUGGACAAGAAAGUAGAGAAGGUUUCCUAGUGGUAACUACUUAUAUUGGUGACUGUCUCCAACAGACUGGUAUCGUCCCCCUGCUGCAUUGUGACGAGCACUUACGGCUGGACGGCAAACAUGGAGAGGAUCAUGAAGGCCCAGGCUCUCAGGGAUAACUCCACCAUGGGUUACAUGAUGGCCAAGAAGCAUUUAGAGAUCAACCCCGACCAUCCCAUCAUGGAGACCCUCCGGCAGAAGGCUGAGACCGACAAAAACGACAAAGCUGUGAAGGACCUCGUCAUCCUGCUGUUCGAAACUGCUCUGCUGUCCUCUGGCUUCUCCCUGGACGACCCUCAGACCCACUCCAACCGCAUCUACAGAAUGAUCAAACUUGGUUUGGGUAUCGACGAUGACGACAUCCCCACAGAGGAGCCCGCCUCCACAUCUGCCCCAGAAGAGAUGCCACCCCUGGAAGGAGAUGCUGACGACGAUUCGUCACGCAUGGAAGAGGUCGACUAAACUUCCCCAAACUUCACACUUUUAAGCCUCACUUUCCCAGAAAUCCAUCUAUUAUAAAUUCUGUAACUAAAAAAUCAAGUAGGCAUUCCUGUUGUGACGCUCUCGGUAAGAGAUCCUCACACUGAAAAACCUUGUUUGAAAGUAGGUUUGUUUCUGCUUGCAAUGUUCAUGGUGACGACUCAUUUUAAACUCCCCUGUUGCACUGUGGUUUACUUGUUCGGUUGAUGUGCAAGUUGGGGAAUGAUGCAUUCCAUUCCAAAUGUUUGGGGGGGGUUCUCUUCAUGUGCAGCGCUGCAUGGAGAGAGGACUGUAAGAUUCCUUUGCCUGAGGUCAGGUUUGUCUGUGUUCAGUUUUGUUUUUGCAAAAAUAAAGAAUAUUGUCCCUAA